UCACAGAGUUGCUUUGCUUUAGAGAGUUGAUGAGUUUGGGAUUCAAAGUGGGUGAGCUCGGGAUCCACCGUGGAUGAGCUCGAGAUAGCUGCGGUGUUGUUUUAGAGAGUGGAUGAGCUCGAGAUUCGCUAUGGAUGAGUUCAUGAUUUUCUGUGUGUGAGUUCGGGAUCCGCCAUGGGUGAACUCGGGAUAGCUGUGGUGGAGUUUCAGAGAGUGGAUGAGUUUCAAGGUUGUUAUCUCUGAUUUCCUUUGUCCAUGAAUCUUUGUCUACACAACCUUAACGACAGCUGUGGCGGCGAAGCUGUUUUCUCCUUCGUUGUCUUGUCAAUGGAUGACUUCAAGAGAUGUAGUAAUCAAAGGGUGGAGACGGGCAUGUGUGACGAAACGAAACAGAGUCUCCCCUGUCACCGCCAUGGUUGUGGAGCCUCUUAAUACUGCCAUUCAGAUUCAUCAAUGGUGGGAACACAACCCUAGUUCAUUACUGAUAAUGGCAGAGAGCGGGAGACUGGUAGUGGUUACUCGUUGGCUAGCUACUACACAUAUCAGUGGGUUUGUUUGUUAUUUCAGUUCCAGACUUUGGUCUCUAGUUAAAAGCUCCGUUAAAUCAAAGAUAGUGAGGUAGACCUUUGUUUUUAGCUAAGGAAAAGGAGUAAGGAGCUAAUGAAAGUUGCUGGAGAAGUUCUCUAUUUUUUCACAAGGAAGAACUUCAACAUCACUGAUCGUGAAGAAACAAUCAUGUAAGCUCAUUCAGAAGAAAUUUUCAAUUUUUUUAUGUAGGUUUUAGUUUAGUAGGCUAUGUUCACACAUUUUUUUGCAAAACCUUGUCCACAAUAUAUUUUAUACAUCUUGUCCACAAUAAUUUGAAGAGAUGUUUAACUAAGCCAUGUUUACACAUUUUUUCACAAAACCUUGUCCACAAUACAUUUUAUACAUCUUGUCCACAAUAUCUUGAGAUGUUUCACUUUA